rnacentral:rRNA from 1 species
UGCCGGUGAUAAGCCGAGAGGAAGGUGGGGAUGACGUCAAGUCCUCAUGGCCCUUACGGGCUGGGCUACACACGUGCUACAAUGGUGGUGACAGUGGGCAGCGAGACGGUGACGUCGAGCUAAUCUCCAAAAGCCAUCUCAGUUCGGAUUGCACUCUGCAACUCGAGUGCAUGAAGUUGGAAUCGCUAGUAAUCGCGGAUCAGCAUGCCGCGGUGAAUACGUUCCCGGGCCUUGUACACACCGCCCGUCACACCAUGGGAGUUGGUUUUACCCGAAGGUAGUGCGCUAACCGCAAGGAGGCAGCUAACCACGGUAGGGU